rnacentral:rRNA from 1 species
UACAGAGGGGGCAAGCGUUGUUCGGAAUUACUGGGCGUAAAGGGCGCGUAGGCGGCCUUCUAAGUCGAACGUGAAAUCCCCGGGCUCAACCCGGGAACUGCGUCCGAUACUGGAAGGCUUGAAUCCGGGAGAGGGAUGCGGAAUUCCAGGUGUAGCGGUGAAAUGCGCAGAGAUCAGGAGGAACACCCGUAGCGAAGGCGGCACUCUGGGCCGAUACUGACACUGAGGAGCGAAAGCGUGGGGAGCGAACAGG